rnacentral:misc_RNA from 1 species
GAUGAAGAACGUAGCUAAAUGCGAUAAGUAAUGUGAAUUGCAGAAUUCAGUGAAUCAUCGAAUCUUUGAACGCACAUUGCGCCGGCCAGUAGUCUGGCGGGCAUGCCUGUUCGAGCGUCAUUACAACCCUCAGGCCCCCGGGCCUGGCGUUGGGGAUCGGCGGAAGCCCCCUGCGGGCACAACGCCGUCCCCCAAAUACAGUGGCGGUCCCGCCGCAGCUUCCAUUGCGUAGUAGCUAACACCUCGCGACUGGAGAGCGGCGCGGCCACGCCGUAAAACACCCAACUUCUGAAUGUUGACCUCGAAUCAGGUAGGAAUACCCGCUGAACUUAAGCAUAUCAAUAAGCGGAGGA